GAUGAAGAACGUAGCGAAAUGCGAUAAGUAGUGUGAAUUGCAGAAUUCAGUGAAUCAUCGAAUCUUUGAACGCACAUUGCGCCCUUUGGUAUUCCAAAGGGCAUGCCUGUUCGAGCGUCAUUUGUACCCUCAAGCUUUGCUUGGUGUUGGGCGUCUUGUCUCUAGCUUUGCUGGAGACUCGCCUUAAAGUAAUUGGCAGCCGGCCUACUGGUUUCGGAGCGCAGCACAAGUCGCACUCUCUAUCAGCAAAGGUCUAGCGUCCAUUAAGCCUUUUUUUCAACUUUUGACCUCGGAUCAGGUAGGGAUACCCGCUGAACUUAAGCAUAGCAAUAAGCGGAGGA
rnacentral:misc_RNA from 1 species